UACGUAGGGUGCAAGCGUUGUCCGGAAUUAUUGGGCGUAAAGAGCUCGUAGGCGGUCUGUCGCGUCUGCUGUGAAAACCUAGGGCUUAACUCUGGGCGUGCAGUGGGUACGGGCAGACUAGAGUGCGGUAGGGGAGACUGGAAUUCCUGGUGUAGCGGUGAAAGUGCGCAGAUAUCAGGAGGAACACCGGUGGCGAAGGCGGGUCUCUGGGCAGUAACUGACGCUGGAGGAGCGAAAAGCGUGGGGAGCGAACAGG
rnacentral:rRNA from 1 species